GCUGCCUGCAGCAGAGCGCGCAAACUUAACCACUCGGCCACGGGGCCAGCCCCAUUAUGAGGCCUGAGAGGAAGACUCUGGCCAGUUUCUUCUGAAGACUACUGCACUCUGAGGCCUCAUUCACUGGCUUCUUUGGAUCCCUGGCUGCUAAGCCAAUUUUCAGACAAAGCUACCUUGGAAAGAGCCAAGGAAAAAG